rnacentral:rRNA from 1 species
AUUGAACGCUGGCGGCAUGCCUUACACAUGCAAGUCGUACGGUAAGGGGCCUUCGGGUGCCGUCGAGUGGCGGACGGGGUAGUAAUAGCUUGGGACGUUCGCGAUCGAGUGGGAGAAAGAGGCGAAAGAUUUGCUAAUAGCGCAGACGAUCUAAGGCGGACAGCUGUGGAGCGCGAGGCAUUGCGCUGAUGCAGCGGCGGAUGGCAGACUAGGUGGUUGGUGGGAUAAUAGCGUACCAAGACGACGAUCUGUAGCUGGUCUGAGAGGAUGAUCAGCCACACUGGGACUGAGACACGGCCCAGACUCCUACGGGAGGCAGCAGUGGGGAAUUUUGGACAAUGGGCGCAAGCCUGAUCCAGCCAUGCCGCGUGCAGGAUGAAGGCCUUCGGGUUGUAAACUGCUUUUGUACGGAACGAAAAGCCUUCUUUUAAUACAGGAGGGUCAUGACGGUACCGUAAGAAUAAGCACCGGCUAACUACGUG